rnacentral:rRNA from 1 species
UACGUAGGGGCCUAGCGUUGUUCGGAUUUACUGGGCGUAAAGCGCACGUAGGCGGUUUGUUAAGUGAGAGGUGAAAUCCCAGAGCUCAACUCUGGAACUGCCUUUCAUACUGGCAAGCUAGAGUCCGGAAGAGGUAAGUGGAACUCCUAGUGUAGAGGUGGAAUUCGUAGAUAUUAGGAAGAACACCAGUGGCGAAGGCGGCUUACUGGUCCGGAACUGACGCUGAGGUGCGAAAGCGUGGGGAGCAAACAGG